GUGAGGAAUAUUGGUCAAUGGGCGCAAGCCUGAACCAGCCAUGCCGCGUGCAGGAAGACGGUCCUAUGGAUUGUAAACUGCUUUUAUUUGGGAAUAAACUCCGGUACGUGUACCGGCCUGAAGGUACCAAAUGAAUAAGCACCGGCUAACUCCGUGCCAGCAGCCGCGGUAAUACGGAGGGUGCAAGCGUUAUCCGGAAUCAUUGGGUUUAAAGGGUCCGCAGGCGGUCUUAUAAGUCAGUGGUGAAAGCCUACAGCUCAACUGUAGAACUGCCUUUGAUACUGUAGGACUUGAAUUCGAUCGAAGUGGGCGGAAUGUGACAUGUAGCGGUGAAAUGCUUAGAUAUGUCACAGAACACCGAUAGCGAAGGCAGCUCACUAGGUCUGGAUUGACGCUCAGGGACGAAAGCGUGGGGAGCAAACAGGAUUAGAAACCCUUGUAGUCC
rnacentral:rRNA from 1 species